CGCAAAUACUUUUCCACCCAAUGCUCUGUGGAGCUCAAGGAGCUUGUGUGUUGCUGCGUUGCAUCGCAUUGUCUCAGGUCUUCCUCUAGGGACGAAGAAACUGAAAGGUUGAAAAUGCAAGAGCAACACAAAGAGCCCAGCUUAGAGAAAACUGAAGCAGGAGUGUGUUGAAUUCUUCUAGUGCUGUGACACCUGUCAUGUCAGCAGAGCAUUGCUCUGCUUCUGUGUCUUUGUAUGAGAGAGAGAGAGAGAAAACAAAAGGGAAAGCGAGAGGGGGAGAGAUCCAUAUUAAUAUAACAUGCAAUUUCCAGAUGUUUGCUAAUGAAAAAACCAUGAAGGAUCACAUUAAGAAGGGAACUUACAUAAAAAUAAUCUGAAACUAAGUCUAAAUUCACCUAAAGAUUUGCUGCAGUUUGGAAACCCUUUGCAUGAACCUGGACUGAUUUAUGACUUCACACCAAAACCACACAAGCUUGCGGAUUUUGCACGGUAAGGAUGUGAGACCAGAUGAAUCUCUGUGCUUUUGAAUCGGUUUCCCAUUGAGUUUUGGGGUUUCCUCAAAUCCCAGAACACAAAAAUAAACCUUAAAGGGUGUGAACCUUCAUGAACUGAAAUCAAGAGGGAGAUCUGCAGCCUCCUGAAGAGCACAACAGCCAAAUUUUGUACAGCUUGUCUUGAGAAAUUGGACUUCCACAUGUUCUCUUUACACCUUGGAACCCUUUGAAACUGCACCUUCCUGCCACUGUGAGUUUAAGAUCCUAAAGUUACACACGCAGCCUUCUCAGCUCAACAGUACUCAUACAGCUUGGUAUGAGAUCCUCAACUAGUGUAAAUCUGCAAGGCCCCAUUAAAACAAUCUUUGGUUGACUAUCCUUGACAAUAUUUCAUCUCUUCAUACCUUUCCUUUUGAAAUUUCAUCCUGCCUAGCAAUUGAUCUGCAAUGGUUAUACUGACUUUAUUUGCACACUGAAAUACCCAUAAGCCUUGAAUUUGUUCUAAUCUAACUUGAUCGUUGAUUUCCACUUCACUGAGGAUGCUUGCCCGCCUCUCACAAAGUAAUAUUUCUCUACUUAACUAUGUAGGAUUUACUCUCUUUUUAUUGAUUUACCUUUUAGACUGUAGGUUCACCUGUGGUAUAGGUUCAGCUUUACUUCUGUGUGUGCCACAGAGCAGAGUUAUUCAGGAUAGUCUCUUAAAUAUCCCACCUAAAUUGUUGUCAUUUCCCCUUGAGGCUGCUGCUAACCAUUUUCUUCCUUGAGGAAUCGUCCUUUACAACAUCAAACCUGACAUGGCUGUGAUAAUAGUGACCCAGCUGCCAUCCCUACACCUUCUCUCAUCUACUGUCUCCUGAAUGAUUCAUAAAGUGAUGGCAAGGUAGGUGAAGGGGUAGGUAAAGGCAACCAGAAGUAUUCUGCUAGCAGAUUCUGCAAUUUCCUUGAUCAUUUUUAACAUAUUAAGGCCCUUAUCUUUCUUCUGAAAUGGACAUUCAUAUUAUCUAGGGCCAGAUUUUCAAAUGUAUUUAGACACCUGAUGCCUAAUAGGAUUUUAAAAAAUGCCUAAUCAGGUUAGAUGCCUAACCCCCACUGAUUUCCAAGUUAAGCCUGUACCUACUUGCAAUGGGAGUUAGACACCUAAUUACUUAGGCACCUUUAGAAAUCUCUUUAGUAGCCCUAUUUCCUUUGAAAAUCUGGUCUCCAGUCUGCAGACACAUUAAUAUUUCUGUUACUUGGGAUUUAUAACCAAAUAGAGCCUCUCCAUCCUGGAGAGGCUGCCAAUAUGUGUAAUGCAACGGCAUUGUCAUCUGUAAUGCACCUAUUUUUCCUGCAUAGUUUAAAAAGACAGAUCACUGAUAUUUAGAGAUUAUCUCCAGUAAAAUGAAAUGAUCCAUUAUCUGAAUUAGGUUGCAUGGUUUUUAUGUUCCAAUGUUUACUCAGCAGUAAAAAGCAAGGCAGUCUAUCAACCCACAAAACAAAGGUUUAGUGUAAGUCACUA